GAGUACCUACGGGAGGCAGCAGUGGGGGAUAUUGCACAAUGGGGGAAACCCUGAUGCAGCGACGCCGCGUGGGCGAAGAAGUAUUUCGGUAUGUAAAGCCCUAUCAGCAGGGAAGAAGAAAUGACGGUACCUGAGAAAGAAGCACCGGCUAAAUACGUGCCAGCAGCCGCGGUAAUACGUAUGGUGCAAGCGUUAUCCGGAUUUACUGGGUGUAAAGGGAGCGCAGCCGGCACGGCAAGCCUGAUGGGAAAGCCCGCGGCCCAACCGCGGGCCUGCAUUGGGAACUACCG
rnacentral:rRNA from 1 species